AUAAGUAACAACUCACUUCGGUAUUUUACAAAAAAGGUAGUUAAGUAUUUUUUGUGUGUUCCUGCAUAAAAUACUAGUAAGACUCAAAACAGGUAGAUACUGAUAAGCAAGUUUUAAAAUCACAAGCAGAAGAAACAACACUCUGUAUGCCCUUCCAGGUGGAAAUGCAGUGAGCAGAAAACUGUCUCCGUGAGAUAAAUGCUCCUGCCCAAAGCCCAGUCUAGCAAUGCUUCCUCUCUGAACCACAACUCUGAACAGGCUGCCACUCACUGCAACUCCUUGCACAUGACAGACUUGCUGGGAAGAGCAGUAAACAUCACUGAAGAAAUCCAGGUACAUGUGAAACGCACAAGUGUGGAGCUGAAUGGAGCCACGCGAACCAAUACACAAUCAUCAGAUUCAGACCCAGACCCCAGCUGAGACGGCACCUCGCAAUGACUUGCUCCCAAAGAAAGAUGUUCUGGCCAGAGCCCUGGAGACCCCACACCCAGGGACUGGAGACCGCAGCCAUCCACGUGCAACUCUGUU
rnacentral:lncRNA from 1 species